GACGAACGCUGGCGGCGUGCUUAACACAUGCAAGUCGAACGGAAAGGCCCUGCUUUUGUGGGGUGCGCGAGAGGCGAACGGGAGAGUAACACGACGGUCACCCGCCCCUGACUUUAGGAUAACUUAAGGGGACUAAGACUAAUACCGCACCGCAGCUCCUGCGGCUGGUGGUGGGAAGGAUAGCCUUCGCGGCUGGGGAUGGACGCGCGGCUUAUCAGCUUGUUGGUGGGGUAGUGGCCUACCAAGGCCAGGACGGGUAGCCGGCCUGAGAGGGUGACCGGCCACACUGGGACUGAGAUACGGCCCAGACUCCUACGGGAGGCAGCAGUGGGGAAUAUUGCGCAAUGGGCGGAAGCCUGAUGCAGCAACGCCGCGUGCGGGAUGACGGCCUUCGGGUUGUAAACCGCUUUCGCCUGGGACGAAGCGUGAGUGACGGUAAUGGGUAAAGAAGCACCGGCUAACUACGUG
rnacentral:rRNA from 1 species